rnacentral:lncRNA from 1 species
AUGGGACUGCCCAAGGGUUGCGUGGAAACAACCCCGGGCCCUCUCACACCAGGCACGGCCCAAACCCACCGCCCCAGGCAGGAGCGAGCUCCCUGGCGCAUGUCCCUCUCUGCUCCACUGCAGCAAGGGGCUGCCCUGGUCAUGGCUGCAAGCACCCGGGGAAGAAACCCCGGUCAAGGCCUGGGCGCCAGCCAUGCAGCAGACACACCUGUGCACCCGAGCCCUACCCCCACCAGCUACAAGGCCGUGCCCCGGGCACAGCACACGCUGGAUCCCCUGGAUGCUGCGUAUCUGGGGCAGCUUCUCCCAGCAGGCGCCGCCGCACGGGGCCGCUGGCGCGUGCAAGGCCUGACCUCAAUUAAAGCCCGGGGGGGGGGUGCAGGGCACCCCACAAGCUGGCUGGCUCAGGCAGAGGGAGGAGCCUGCCUAGGAAGCAGCAGGGCAGCCCCAGGGGCUAGCGGUCAGCACGGAGGGGAACUGGGACCUGGGGAAGAGCCCAGCCCUGGGAGAAGAGCCAGGAUGCCUGGGUCCUACCCCUGGCUCCCAGAGGGGAACGCGGCUGCGUCUGGGGUGGAGCGUUCUUGCAGGCACCUCGUGGUGGUACAGAAGGGGCCUCAGAGGGACCGGGACAGAGCCAGGCCCCGCCACGCGUGCACUGGCCGCCCGGGGGGCUCAGGGUGCAGGCACCAACUCCCAGCUGCCGGGGCCACAGGGCUCAGCAUGUCCCCCAGGCCCUGGACUGGGGGCCAGGAUGCCAGAAGACCCCCUGGGCGAGCGGGGCCCUGCUCUGGGGAUAACGACCCCCGGGUGGGGCAGGGCAGGGGCUUACCCCCGUGUUUGGGGGACGUUGGGGGGGCGGGGCUGGCCACCCCCCGCAACACGCCCCCGCCCGAGAGCGGAUCCCAGGGUCCCCCCCAGGGAAGCCACAGGCCCUGGGGCAGGGGUCACGGCCGGGCCCUGGGGGUCCCAAUUCCCCGCGCUGCCCCCAGGGGCGCGUCCGCAUCGGCAACAGGUGGGCCCAGCGGUGCAGCCCCCCGCCCCCCC